rnacentral:rRNA from 1 species
CCAUUUAAAGCGGUACGCGAGCUGGGUUCAGAACGUCGUGAGACAGUUCGGUCCCUAUCUGCCGUGGGCGUUGGAAAUUUGAGAGGACCUGCUCUUAGUACGAGAGGACCGGAGUGGACGAACCUAUGGUGAUCCUGUUGUCACGCCAGUGGCACCGCAGGGUAGCUAAGUUCGGAAUAGAUAACCGCUGAAAGCAUCUAAGCGGGAAGCUAGCCUCAAGACAAAUUUCCCUGGAACUUCGGUUCCCUUAAGGACACAGCAAGACUAGCUGUUUGAUAGGCUGGGAGUGGAAGUGGGGUAACCCAUGUAGCUGACCAGUACUAAUCGUCCGUGAGGCCUCUUAAA